GUAUGAAUGGUGGAGCUGCAGCCGAGCCGCGUCGCUUAGGAAGGUUGGGGAAAGAUGGCACAGAGUGCCAGAAAGCGCGCGCAUGGUUUCGCGGAGCUCGUCUUCAUUGGGGGGGAUUUUCAGUCCGAGCUGCAGAAGUUUGAAAGUGAAAGAAAAAUGUGUCAGGUCAUGUUGGUGUUAAGUGCGCAUCUCGCAAAUGCUGGCUGAUUUUUAUUUUUUUUUUAAAAGAAAGCAACAACCUUAAAAGCAACUACAAUAAGCCAGCAAAGACGCGCAAAAGUUGCGUCUGAUCCGCCAGUGAUUCGGGUCAAUGAACUUAUUCAUCGUAAGAGCAAGAACUGGAAAGAGGAUGAUGACGGUACCGAAAUAAAGAACUGCUGAGUUGCAUUUGAAGUGUUCACUGAAGACUUUCGGAUGAAGAGGAGGAUGAAGGGCAACAAACUGGUAACCGGGGAGGCUGCCUGCUGUGAAGCAGGACCAGCUUUAGGGAAAUGAGAUAUUGUUACCAAACUGAGUCAUCCCGUCCCGGUUAAAGCACACGCCCAGAGCUGCUGCCACCCUCAUCCAGUCUCACGCAGGGCAGAGGCACAAUGAGGAGGCAGUUUCACCGCAGGACUUGAAGGCAGGUUUCCACUGCAUUCAGCCAUCGUGAGAAGCGUUGGGGAAACCACCUCAGCUGAGCUUAUCUGCUGCUGAGUCAGUGAGAACAUCAUCAUGAGAUGGGGAGGCUGGUGACCGCAGGCUGUAGCAAUGGGUGUCGUGGUUAGCAGCUGCUGGUCCUCGGUGACCUAAACGGUGCUGUGGAGUUGCCUCUGGGAAAAAUCGAAUGAAAUGUUCAAAGGAAGAACAAAGCGGGGUGUUUUGAGCGGCAGUAGGCAAGACUUUAAUCGAUGCAUUGCAUCAGAUGACCAUAAAAACACCAGCUGGAGAUUAAUGCUGUUAACUUCCCCUGGUGCUUAAGUUUGUUUGGCUUGUUAACAGGUUUUUUAGGCUGUUUUUCUUUUCUUUUCUUUUCUUUUACAGCAGUCUUCGCACUCAGUCAUGCUUACUCUGUUGAAAUCCCAUCUGGUUAAGAAACACAGCUAUCAAAAUACAUAAAUGAGUUUGUUCACUCUUUUAACUCGGUGCCCAACCAACAAAAAAAAA